GUCCGUUUCCCUGCUUGCACCCGUGUGGGUGGGCUGUGACCUUCGAGGUAGGGGAAACAAUACAUUUCAAAGAGGC
rnacentral:ncRNA from 1 species